rnacentral:rRNA from 1 species
UACGGGGGGGGUAAGCGUUGUUCGGAAUUACUGGGCGUAAAGGGCUCGUAGGCGGCCAACUAAGUCAGACGUGAAAUCCCUCAGCUUAACUGGGGAACUGCGUCUGAUACUGGAUGGCUUGGAUUCGGGAGAGGAAUGCGGAAUUCCAGGUGUAGCGGUGAAAUGCGUAGAUAUCUGGAGGAACACCGGUGGCGAAGGCGGCAUUCUGGACCGACAUUGACGCUGAGGAGCGAAAGCCAGGGAGCAACGGG